rnacentral:rRNA from 1 species
CAUGCAAGUCAACUUGAAUUUGGGUUUUUAACUUAGAUUUGGGUGGCGGACGGGUGAGUAACGCGUAAAGAACUUGCCUCACAGCUAGGGACAACAUUUAGAAGUGAAUGCUAAUACCUGAUAUUAUGAUUUUAAGGCAUCUUAGAAUUAUGAAAGCUAUAUGCGCUGUGAGAGAGCUUUGCGUCCCAUUAGCUAGUUGGAGAGGUAACAGCUCACCAAGGCGAUGAUGGGUAGCCGGCCUGAGAGGGUGAACGGCCACAAGGGGACUGAGACACGGCCCUUACUCCUACGGGAGGCAGCAGUGGGGAAUAUUGGACAAUGGACCGAGAGUCUGAUCCAGCAAUUCUGUGUGCACGAUGAAGUUUUUCGGAAUGUAAAGUGCUUUCAGUUGGGAAGAAAAAAUGACGGUACCAACAGAAGAAGUGACGGCUAAAUACGUGCCAGCAGCCGCGGUAAUACGUAUGUCACGAGCGUUAUCCGGAUUUAUUGGGCGUAAAGCGCGUCUAGGUGGUUAUGUAAGUCUGAUGUGAAAAUGCAGGGCUCAACUCUGUAUUGCGUUGGAAACUGUAUAACUAGAGUACUGGAGAGGUAAGCGGAACUACAAGUGUAGAGGUGAAAUUCGUAGAUAUUUGUAGGAAUGCCGAUGGGGAAGCCAGCUUACUGGACAGAUACUGACGCUAAAGCGCGAAAGCGUGGGUAGCAAACAGGAUUAGAUACCCUGGUAGUCCACGCUGUAAACGAUGAUUACUAGGUGUUGGGGGUCGAACCUCAGCGCCCAAGCAAACGCGAUAAGUAAUCCGCCUGGGGAGUACGUACGCAAGUAUGAAACUCAAAGGAAUUGACGGGGACCCGCACAAGCGGUGGAGCAUGUGGUU